UAAUGAGGGGAGGAAAAGAAACUAACAAGGAUUUUCUUAGUAGCGGCGAGCGAAAAGAAAAUAGUUCAGCACUAAGUCACUUUGUCUUUAUGAUAAAUGUGAGAUGCAGUGUAUGGAAUGUCAAAUUUCUAGUAUGAGAAGUUAACGAUUUAAGUCCUUCUUAAAUGAGGCCAUAUACCCAUAGAGGGUGCCAGGCCCGUAUAACGUUAAUGAUUACUAGAUGAUAUUUCCAAAGAGUCGUGUUGCUUGAUAGUGCAGCACCAAGUGGGUGGUAAACUCCAUCUAAAACUAAAUAUAACCAUGAGACCGAUAGUAAACAAGUACCGUGAGGGAAAGUUGAAAAGAACUCUGAAUAGAGAGUUAAAUAGUACGUGAAACUGCUUAGAGGUUAAGCCCGAUGAACCUGAAUAUCCAUUAUGGGAAAUUCAUCAUUAUGAUUAUAGUAUUUAUUUAUUAAAUAAUAUAAUAAUGGUGCGCAUUUUUGCCAUAGAGGACAUUGUAAUCUAUUAAUAAAUGAAAAAUAUUUAUCAUAAGAUCAUUAAUGCAUAAGUUUACUCCAAUUAUUUUGCUUGCAAUUUAAAAUGGUGUAAAAUGUAUUUGAUUUGAUAAGGUAUUGAUAGAUUUAUUAAUAUAUAUAGUGCUCAAAAUAUAUGUAUGUAUGUGCAUGUUAUUUUAUAAUGUGUGUGUAUGUAUAUUAUAUUUUUAUAAUGGUCAUAUUAAUUUUAAUUAAUUUUUAUGUCUAAAUUAUAUGCACUUAUAUGAUUAACAAUGCGAAAGAUUCAGGAUACCUUCGGGACCCGUCUUGAAA
rnacentral:rRNA from 1 species